GGGUCUGGAUUCUGGCUCAGAUUGAACGCUGGCGGGAUGUUCGGCACAUGCAAGUCGAACGGCAGCACGGACUUCGGUCUGGUGGCGAGUGGCGAACGGGUGAGUAAUGUAUCGGAACGUGCCUAGUAGCGGGGGAUAACUACGCUAGGAAAGCGUAGCUAAUGCCGCGACACACGCCCUUCGGGGGAAAGUGGGGACCUUCGGGCCUCGCACCAUUAGAGCGGCCGAUAUCGGAUUAGCUAGGUUGGUGGGGUAACGGCUCACCAAGGCGACGAUCCGUAGCUGGUUUGAGAGGACGACCAGCCACAUCAGACCGAGACACGGCCCAGACUCCUACGGGAAAGGGUGGGGAAUUUUGGACAAUGGGGGAAAUCCCUGAUCCAGCCAUCCCGCGUGUGCGAUGAAGGCCUUCGGGUUGUAAAGCACUUUUGGCAGGAAAAGAAACGGCACGGGAUAAUACCCCGCGUAACCGACGGUACUCUGCAGAAUAAGCACUACAACUACGCCAGCAGCCGCGGUAAUAGCGUAGGGUGCAAGGUGCUACCCGGAAUUACUGGGUGGGGCGUGCGCAGGCGGUUCGGAAAGAAAGAUGUGAAAUCCCAGAGUGAAUUUUGGAACUGCAUUUUUAACUGAGCUAGAGUGUGUCAGAGGGAGGUGGAAUUCCGCGUGUAGCAGAAAUGCGUAGAUAUGCGAGGAACACCGAUGGCGAAGUGGCAGCCUUCCCGGAUAACACUGACGCUCAUGCACGAAAGCGUGGGGAGCAAACAGGAUUAGAUACCCUGGUAGUCCACGCCCUAAACGAUGUCAACUAGCUGUUGGGGCCUUCGGGCCUUGGUAGCGCAGCUAACGUGAAGUUGACCGUUUCGUUGGGAGUACGGUCGCAAGAUUAAAACUCAAAGGAAUUGACGGGACCCGCACAAGCGGUGGAUGAUGUGGAUUAAUUCGAUGCAACGCGAAAAACCUUACCUACCCUUGACAUGUCUGGAAUCCCGAAGAGAUUUGGGAGUGCUCGCAAGAGAACCGGAACACAGGUGCUGCAUGGCUGUCGUCAGCUCGUGUCGUGAGAUGGGGUUGGGUUAAGUCCCGCAACGAGCGCAACCCUUGUCAUUAUUGCUACGAAAGGGCACCUUGCACGAGACUGCCGGUGACAAACCGGAGGAAGGUGGGGAUGACGUCAAGUCCUCAUGGCCCCAGGGUAGGGCUUCACAAUGUCAUACAAUGGUCGGGACAGAGGGUCGCCAACCCGCGAGGGGGAGCCAAUCCCAGAAACCCGAUCGUAGUCCGGAUCGCAGUCUGCAACUCGACUGCGUGGUUGAGACCGCUAGUAAUCGCGGAUCAGCAUGUCGGCAGAUAUCACGUUCCUGGCCUUGUACACACCGCCCGUCACACCAUGGGGAGUGGGUUUUACCAGAAGUAGUUAGCCUAAACCGUAAGGAGGGCGAUUACCACGGUAGGAUUCAUGACUGGGGUGAAGUCGUAACAAGGUAA
rnacentral:rRNA from 1 species